rnacentral:tRNA from 1 species
GGAGAGGUGGCCGAGUGGCUGAAGGCACUCGCCUGCUAAGCGAGUAAGGGCGGCAACGUCCUUCGCGGGUUCGAAUCCCGCCCUCUCCG